rnacentral:tRNA from 1 species
GGAAAUAUCAUGGCUCAGUGGUAGAACAUCUGCUUUGCAUGCAGAAGGUUCCAAAUUCAAUCCCUGGAAUCUCCA